rnacentral:rRNA from 1 species
GAUUGAACGCUGGCGGCAGGCUUAACACAUGCAAGUCGAGCGGAGUGAUGGUGCUUGCACUAUCACUUAGCGGCGGACGGGUGAGUAAUGCUUAGGAAUCUGCCUAUUAGUGGGGGACAACAUUUCGAAAGGAAUGCUAAUACCGCAUACGUCCUACGGGAGAAAGCAGGGGAUCUUCGGACCUUGCGCUAAUAGAUGAGCCUAAGUCGGAUUAGCUAGUUGGUGGGGUAAAGGCCUACCAAGGCGACGAUCUGUAGCGGGUCUGAGAGGAUGAUCCGCCACACUGGGACUGAGACACGGCCCAGACUCCUACGGGAGGCAGCAGUGGGGAAUAUUGGACAAUGGGCGCAAGCCUGAUCCAGCCAUGCCGCGUGUGUGAAGAAGGCCUUAUGGUUGUAAAGCACUUUAAGCGAGGAGGAGGCUACUGAAGUUAAUACCUUCAGAUA